rnacentral:lncRNA from 1 species
GUUUUAUGUCGUGCUCAUCAUUUGUUUUACUAUAAAUUACAUGUUAAAUUGCGUUUGUAUUUGGUAAAAUGUUAAAUUCUAUUGAGUAAAAUAUAGGUAUAUAAAGUUUAAAAACAAGUGUAAAUCUUUAAUUAUAUUGUGUGCUUUAUUCAUACUAAUUUUAGUCUAUAUUUAUAUAUGUAUAUUAUUAUAUAGGGGCAAUUUCAUGGAUAUCCCUCCCAAAGUCUUAAAUAUCAUAGAUACCCUUACAAAGUUUAAAAUAUCAUCUAUACCCCUGUAAAUACAGAAAAUUAUCAUCAAUACCCUUACUGUUAGUUAUGUUAGCUUUACCAUAUUUAUUAAUUGGUUAAAGCUGGGUUAAAUUUUAAAAUGACUUAUUUACCCUUAAGUUUCUCUUAAGUAAAAAUGUAUGAAGACCCCCUCAACUAUAUGCCAUUUUGAAACACCUCCCUCAACUUUCAUUUUUUUAGGUGAUAUCCCAUUAACUUUUAGUUUUUUAAAAAAUUAACUAAUUUCAGUGUAUAAAAAAAUGAGAAUUUUUUAAUUUUUUGAUAAUUUUAUCAAAUCUAGUGGCUCUAUUUAUAUUUUAUUGAAUAAAUAAUUAUAUAUAAAAAUUUAAAUAAAAAAAAAUGUUCAGGAAUUAUCCAUAUUUAAAUUCAGUUAUACGUUUGGUCUAUAUUUAAACUGAAGCUGAACCGAAAUCCGAAACCAAAAAACAAAACCAAAAUAAGAUAAAAACAUACUAUAUAUAAAAUAUAAUUUUUAUAUUUUUUAAUAAUUAAUAUAUAUUAAUAAUUUAAUUUAAUAUGUAUAUAUUAAAUACUCAAAUUUAAAUUUACAAAAAAUAUCUUGAAAUACCUCUUAGUAUUUCUACUAUUAAUAAGAGAUAAAGGGUGAAAAUGGUAUUUUGAAAAUUUAACUCCGUUUCAUACAGGCCUUAACGGAUUUUAACUAAUGGAGGGUAUUUAUGAUAAUUUUUAACAUAUUGAAGGGUAUUUGUGAUAUUAUCAAUUUUAGAAGGGUAUUGAUGAAAUUAAUAGUUUCUAGAAGGGCAUCUAUGAAAUUAUUCCUAUUAUAUAAGGGGUAGAGCUAUUAUGCUAUCGGAAGUAUAGAGGAUUUGAUACUUUCGAUUUUUUGACUCUUGAAUUAAGAAUUGUACGGUUGGGAUGAUUGCGGUCCACUCAGGGUUGGGUAGAACUUUUAAAGUUGAGUGGUCCCCACAGGAUAAUAGUAUUAAUCUAAAGGUUAGAAAUGAUUAAAAGGACUGAUCUAAAGGUCAAAAAGUCAGAAACAUAAGAUCCUUUAUACUUCUAAUAGCAUAGUAGCUCUACUUAUUAUAUAAGUCCAGCUACUAAACUAUCGUCAUUACUAAGCCCUUGAUACUAUUAAGUUUUCUGCCGUUAGAUCUAUGGCUCUGAUCAUUUCCACCCGUUAGAUUUUACUAUUCAACAAUCAUCCGCUCAACCCUAGGAAAUCACUAUCAUUCUAACCGCACAUCCCUUAAUCCAAAAACCUAAAAUCUAAUAGCACCAAGCGCUUUGUACUAUUAAUAGUAUAAUAGCCUAAUUUAUUAUUAUAUAUUAUUAUUACCUAAAUAAUAUUAGAAUACAAAUUCAACUCAUAUUGGAAUCUAAAUCUAUUUUUGGCGGAUAUGGUAACGAAAGUUUAGUAUUCAACACGUAUUCAUAUCCGAAUUCGCAUUCGAAGAAAAUAUGAAUG